GAUGAUGGUGGUGGAGGUGAUAAUGGAAGAGUUGAUAGAAGGGAGAGGAGGAGGAUAAGUGAACAUGGAAAUGGUGGUGGUGAUAAUGGAAGUGAUAAUAGGAGGGAGAGGAGGGGAACAACUGAACGUGAAAGUGAUGAUGAUGGUGGUGGAGGUGAUAAUGGAAGAGUUGAUAGAAGGGAGAGAAGGAGGAUAAGUGAACAUGGAAAUGGUGGUGGUGGUGGUGAUAAUGGAAGGGAUAAUAGGAGGGAGAGGAGGGGAACAACUGAACGUGAAAGUGAUGAUGAUGGUGAUGAUGGAAGGGUGGAUAGGAGGGCGAGGAGAAAAACAACUGAACGCGGAAGUGGUGGUGAUGAUGGAAGGGGGAGGAGGAGAACUGGAGACGGAAGUGAGGAGGAGGAGGAGGAUGGUGGUGGUGAUGAUGGAAGGGAUGAUAGGAGGCGAAAAAAUGAGCGUGGAAGUAGGGAUGAUAGAAGGGCAAGUAUGCGAGUAAUUAAACACGAGAAUGAUGAUGAUGAUGGUGGUGGUGAUAAUACAAGGGUGGAUGAUAGGAGGAGAAGGGAUGAUGAAGAUUUGAAGAAAAUAGAGCAGCAAAGGCAUGGGGAUGGAAGCUCGAAUGAUGAUGAUGAAAGGGAUGGUAGG
rnacentral:lncRNA from 1 species